GGCAGCUAUUUGAGAAACGCCUCAUUUCCUCCAUCAACAGAAGUCUGCACACAGGCUGGAGAGAUGGACUCUGUACACAAGAACUGAAUGGAGAACCUGUGACCAGCCAGCUGAAGCUUCCAGAUGUGUGCCUACUGAUGCCUAGCUCUUAAAUGAGCUAGAAGAGUGGACUUCCAAUGUUCCCAUCGCCGAGCAAUGAUAGAUGGGGGCUGGAGAGACGCCUGCGCAGUUAGAAGCAAGUACUGCUCCUGCAAAGGAGCUUAGUUUGCUUCCCAACACCACACCGGGCAGCUCAUGACUGCCUGUAACUUCCGCCCCAGGAGGAGUGAUACCUUCUUCUGGUUUCCCAUUCUACCCGCAGUCAGGUUCAUAGUCAC